GUGGCCACAGCUCAGUGGCAGAGCAUCUGUUUUGCGUGCAGAAGGUCACAGGUUCAAUCCCCAGUAGGACACA